AAAGAGACUGGUGAGUCAUCGAAUCUUUGAACGCACAUUGCGCCCUUUGGUAUUCCAAAGGGCAUGCCUGUUCGAGCGUCAUUUGUACCCUCAAGCUUUGCUUGGUGUUGGGCGUCUUUUGUCUCCAGCUCGCUGGAGACUCGCCUUAAAGUCAUUGGCAGCCGGCCUACUGGUUUCGGAGCGCAGCACAAGUCGCGCUCUUGCCCAGCCAAGGUCAGCGUCCAGCAAGCCUUUUUUCAACCUUUGACCUCGGAUCAGGUAGGGAUACCCGCUGAACUUAAGCAUAUCAAUAAGCGGAGG
rnacentral:misc_RNA from 1 species